rnacentral:lncRNA from 1 species
UAGGACAGAAAUGACCACCCCUUAAUGUAUUGCAGUUUUCUGAAUGAAUGAUAGCCACUCUGAUCUUACCCAAAGUGCUGGUCAUUCAUCCUUAAUCAUUCCCCUGCCACAGUCCAGGCUGAGAGUCAGAAUUACUCAGCCAAGCAUCUCUCCCUGGUAAUUUCUUAUGAGUGUCAUUGCACUGACGAGGAUCCUGGCAUGUUUCUAGAUGUCCCUAGUCAUCAGGUACUUAAAAACCAUCAUUCUCAGGUUUUCCUGUCCAGCCUUCAGCUGUGUAGGAAGAAUGAUAAAACUGUUUCCAUUUUUUCCCUCUGUUCUGCCAAGUCUUCUCCUCCAUUACAUUGUGUCCUAAUAAUGGCCUCUGUUUUCCAAACCCUAUCUGAUUCUGUUCAGCAGGAGUCUGCUCUUGAUGUAGUUCUUUUUGUUUCCUCCUUAAAAUAAAUCCUAAAAUUAGCCAACACCCAAGCAGCCCUAGCAGCUCCACCACCUGUGGUUCGGCGUGGUCUUACUGGAGAUCUCAUUACUGCAUCAUCCCACAGCCGUGAUGCUUCUGGGAUUAUUGAUGUGAUGUUACUCAAAGUGCUGUCUCAUCCCCAGGUGAGAUAACCUGGAUUUUCAAGGGCUCUGCCAACCUAGUAUGAGUUCUGCCAAGACCUGCCACGCUGGAAGAGUUUCCAGUCUAGGCUCCAAUGGACUACGUGUCUUUUGUCUGAGGAACAACUUGGCUUAUUCUGGGGAGGCUCAUCACCAGAAAACUGGCUACCAAGGGCACACCUGUAGACCUGGUGACAGUCUGUGCGUGCCUUGGCGUGGACGUGGGAAGGCACUUAUUUACUGCCAAGCUAAAAUUAAGAUCCCAGUUUUUACAUGUUGUUUAGGGACAGCGGCUGAUACAGAACUCUGGGUGCUUCUGCUCUCAGCUUUAAUAAGUGGGCUGGAGUGGAUGACUGCUAUCAGUUUUUUGGCACUGUAAAUGGCUGCCAUUUGAUGGGGGGCUAAAUAAAAAGUCAUGCGCUUUCCUAUGGCUGGAACCG